rnacentral:rRNA from 1 species
UUGGAGGGCAAGUCUGGUGCCAGCAGCCGCGGUAAUUCCAGCUCCAAUAGCGUAUAUUAAAGUUGUUGCAGUUAAAAAGCUCGUAGUUGAAUUUCGGGAUCAAAUUGUCGGUCGUGCCUCGGUACGCACUGGCAUUAUUGGUUCCUACCUUCUGAAGAACCGCGAUGUCAUUAAUUUGGUGUCGUGGGGAAUCAGGACUGUUACUUUGAAAAAAUUAGAGUGUUUAAAGCAAGCUUACGCUUGAAUACAUUAGCAUGGAAUAAUGAAAUAGGACGUUUGAUUCUAUUUUGUUGGUUUCUAGGAUUGACGUAAUGAUUAAUAGGGAUAGUUGGGGGCAUUAGUAUUCAAUUGUCAGAGGUGAAAUUCUUGGAUUUAUUGAAGACUAACUACUGCGAAAGCAUUUGCCAAGGAUGUUUUCAUUAAUCAAGAACGAAAGUUAGGGGAUCGAAGACGAUCAGAUACCGUCGUAGUCUUAACCAUAAACUAUGCCGACUAGGGAUCGGAUGAUGUUAAUUUUUUAAUGACUCAUUCGGCGCCUUACGGGAAAC